rnacentral:rRNA from 1 species
CACGUAGGCACCAAGCGUUGUCCGGAUUUAUUGGGCGUAAAGAGCUCGUAGGCGGUUCGGUAAGUCGGGUGUGAAAACUUUGGGCUCAACCCAAAGCGUGCACUCGAUACUGCCAUGACUAGAGUUCGGUAGGGGAGUGGGGAAUUCCUAGUGUAGCGGUGAAAUGCGCAGAUAUUAGGAGGAACACCGGUGGCGAAGGCGGGUCUCUGGGCAGUAACUGACGCUGAGAAGCGAAAGCGUGGGUAGCGAACAGGA